UGGGCCAGCAACCAGGUAAAUCUCUGCAGGGCAUGAAGAGCCAAGAAUGCUACAGAACAGGAUGAUGGAUGCAGCGCUCCCAAUUCAUUUCUUUUCUAAAUGACAUAUUUGUAUGUUUCCUUCAUCAUUUCAUUCGGUCCACACGUAUCCAUGCGGUGCACUCUGUGUGCCAGUCAUAGAGGCCAAAGGAAUUUAAGGUCAUUUGAGGUAAUCAUUCUUAUAGGUUAAUAAGUGAACCAAGACAAUGCUUUACCUGAUUUUGAGUUUUUUCUGUCUUUUAUGCUUUCAUACAAAAUGUCAUGCUCUAAUCACUAAACCUGACUCCAGAAAUCCACCUGGAAAACAAAGUAGACAACCAAGCUUUUUGAGAAUUUUGACUUUUUUAAAAAAAGAAAAAGAAGCCCGGGCCCGGUGGCUCACGCCUGUAAUCCUAGCACUUUGGGAGGCUGAGGCGGGCAGAUCACGAGGUCAGGAGAUGGAGACCAUCCUGGCUAACACGGUGAAAUCCUGUCUCUACUAAAAAUACAAAAAAUUAGCCGGGCAUGAUGGUGGGCGCCUGUAGUCCCAGCUACUCGGGAGGCUGAGGCAGGAGAAUGGCGUGAACCCGGGAGGCGGAGCUUGCAGUGAGCCGAGAUCACGCCACUGCACUCCAGCGUGGGGGCCAGAGGGAGACUCCGUCUCAAAAGAAAAGAAAAAGAAUGAUAUUAGCAGGAAGAGAGAAUUAAGCUUUAUUGAGCAACUACUAAGUGCCAGGCAUUUUUCUGUGCAUUUUAUCAUUUCAUCCUUCAAACAACCCUAAAGCUGACCUUACUGUCAAGCAUUCACCAUUCAUUCUACAUCUGACUCUCAGGAGAAGAGGAGGGAAUGUUGGGUCAAGUGAUCCCCAGGGUUCCUUCAAGCACCAACAAUCUCUAUGUCUCCCAUCCUAACUUAAAUUUUAUAAAACAAAGGAUUUGUUUAGGUGGGAGAGUAGAUAAGUCUGCCCUAGGGCUGGUUGCCUCUUUCAGCCCCCAUUCAUGCAUAACAAAUCACACACAAACUUAGUGACUGGAAACAACAUCGUUUUCGUGUCUCUGUGGUUUUAAUGGCUCAGGAAUGUGAGCAGGGCACACUGGGAGCAGCCUAUCUCUGUGCCUCAAUGUCUGAGGCCUUAGCUGGAAUCCCCAAGGCCUGGGAGCUGAUGUCAUCUGAAUGCUUAUUCAGUUGUUUAUCUGGCAAUUGUUGAUUGCUGUCAGCCAGAACAUCUACUUGUGGCCUCUCCACGAGGCCUGGGCUCUCUCACAACAUGGCGGCCAGGUUCCAAAGGUGAGCAUCCCAAAAGCCAGCUUGCAGUGGUUUCUCUUUCGCCUUUUAUGAUCCAGCCUCAGAAAUCAUACAGUGUCACUUCUAUUGCACUCAUUCAUGAAGGCCGUCAUAAACGCUAACCCACACUCUAGGGGACAGGAACUAGACUCCACCUGUGAACGAGAGGAGCGUCAGAAAUAUUAGCAUGGCCAUUUUUGGAAAAUGCUAUAGAGCCAAAGUCUGCAUGAAGAGAGAACAGAUUGGGAAUCAGAGGUACCUGAGUUCAGAUUCCAGCUUCAUUGCUCAUUAGCUCUGUGGCAUGGGGAAAUCAGUGAACCCUUUACUGCUGUGUUAUUUGUAAAAUGACUGUGAUUGCUGACUGAUUAUGUCAGGCUAUACAAUCAUUUCUUUGGUUGCAAGCCAUGGAAACCAAACCUUAUGAAGAGAAGAAAACACAUAUGCAGGCAUGUGUGUGCACACACACACAAGACAUAGAGAAGCAAAGAAAAAUAGGAUGAAGCAAGCUUCAGGAAUGCCGGAAAAAGCUGCUUCAGCGAUCUAGGUUCCUGGGAUGAAUGGAUGAUAUUUUUAGGCUCUCACGAUCAGGACAAAUCAGCUCCAAGUAUUUUCCAUCCUUAUGUCUCUCUGAAAACAUUGUACGCUCCCAGCAUAUUAAGUCCUGGGUGGCCUGUCUUGAGUCGGACUCACUUCAU
rnacentral:lncRNA from 10 species